rnacentral:rRNA from 1 species
GGAUUAGAAACCCGGGUAGUCCACGCCGUAAACGAUGAUAACUAGCUGUCGGGGCUCUUAGAGCUUCGGUGGCGCAGCUAACGCAUUAAGUUAUCCGCCUGGGGAGUACGGUCGCAAGAUUAAAACUCAAAGGAAUUGACGGGGGCCUGCACAAGCGGUGGAGCAUGUGGUUUAAUUCGAAGCAACGCGCAGAACCUUACCAGCGUUUGACAUGUCCGGACGAUUUCCAGAGAUGGAUUUCUCCCUUCGGGACUGGAACACAGGUGCUGCAUGGCUGUCGUCAGCUCGUGUCG